rnacentral:rRNA from 1 species
UACGUAGGGUGCAAGCGUUAUCCGGAAUUAUUGGGCGUAAAGAGCUCGUAGGCGGUUUGUCGCGUCUGCUGUGAAAACUGGAGGCUCAACCUCCAGCCUGCAGUGGGUACGGGCAAACUAGAGUGCGGUAGGGGAGAGUGGAAUUCCUGGUGUAGCGGUGGAAUGCGCAGAUAUCAGGAGGAACACCGAUGGCGAAGGCAGAUCUCUGGGCCGUAACUGACGCUGAGGCGCGAAAGCAUGGGGAGCGAACAGG